rnacentral:rRNA from 1 species
AGAAAGUGGUCUUCGGACCGCAAGUAGAGUGGCGCACGGGUGAGUAACGCGUAGGUAAUCUACCCUUAUAUCUGGGAUAACAUUGGGAAACUGGUGCUAAUACCGGAUACACUUUACUGCUGCGGGGCAGUAGAGGAAAGGUGGCCUCUUGGUCAAAGCUACCGUAUAGGGAUGAGCCUGCGUACCAUUAGCUAGUAGGUGGGGUAACGGCCCACCUAGGCGACGAUGGUUAGCGGGUCUGAGAGGAUGAUCCGCCACACUGGAACUGGAACACGGACCAGACUCCUACGGGAGGCAGCAGUGAGGAAUAUUGCGCAAUGGGGGAAACCCUGACGCAGCGACGCCGCGUGAGUGAGGAAGGCCUUCGGGUCGUAAAGCUCUGUCAGAAGGGAAGAAGUGUUAGAUGGUUAAUACCCAUGUAAUUUGACGGUACCUUCAGAGGAAGCACCGGCUAACUCCGUGCCAGCAGCCGCGGUAAUACGGAGGGUGCUAGCGUUGUUCGGAAUUACUGGGCGUAAAGGGCGCGUAGGCGGCUGGAUAAGUCAGAUGUGAAAGCCCACGGCUUAACUGUGGAAGUGCAUUUGAAACUGUCCGGCUUGAGUAUCGGAGGGGAGUGUGGAAUUCCCGGUGUAGAGGUGAAAUUCGUAGAGAUCGGGAGGAACACCGGUGGCGAAGGCGACACUCUGGACGAAUACUGACGCUGAGGCGCGAAAGCGUGGGGAGCAAACAGGAUUAGAUACCCUGGUAGUCCACGCCGUAAACGAUGUGAACUAGAGGUAGGUGGUGUUGAUCCCAUCUGUC